rnacentral:lncRNA from 1 species
CAGGAUCAAAGCUUUAUUUUUUGGGUUUUUUUUUCUCAUUGACUUUACACACAGGGAAGAACAGAGGAUGGUUUUAAAACAGGAGCUCUAUUCCUUAUUCAGCGUUUGUUCCUAAAAAUUAAUGGGAGCAGUGGCAGUUAGAGCAGGAGUUGAACACAGGAGUUCGACUUGAUGCUGUUUUUGCAUUGUAAAAUGCCUCAUGCAGGCCAGCAAGCAAACUGGGCAGUGUCUCCGUGAAGCCUCAUUUAUUGUCUGUACUCCUAAUCUGGCUGGGGAUAAUGGAAGCAAAUGGUCUGGGACGGUGGGCUGCAAAAUCAGAGAUGACAACCGAGAGGAGGCGGUGAAGCUCCUGGUGAAAUGGUGCUGAUAAUUGCUUUUGCUGGCUUGUUUGUGUCUGCAGCUGCUGCAACCACUACCUGGAGGUCCUGGCCCCAUCCUGAGCAAACAAGCAAUGAUUUCUGUAAUGUGUGUUGAUGUUGUAGAAUCAUAGAAUGGCCCAGGUUGGAAGGGACCUCAAGGAUCAUCCAGUUCCGACCCCCCUGCCACAGGCAGUGUUGCCAGCUGCUAGAUGAAGCACUGGAUGAGGGCCCCAGCCAACCUGACCUUGAACACCUCCAGGGAUGGGGCAUCCACAGCCUCCUUGGGUAACCUGUUCCAGCACCUCACCACUAUCUCCGUUAAAAACUUG